AGUGAACGCUGGCGGUAGGCCUAACACAUGCAAGUCGAACGGCAGCACAGUAAGAGCUUGCUCUUACGGGUGGCGAGUGGCGGACGGGUGAGGAAUACAUCGGAAUCUACUUUUUCGUGGGGGAUAACGUAGGGAAACUUACGCUAAUACCGCAUACGACCUACGGGUGAAAGCAGGGGAUCUUCGGACCUUGCGCGAUUGAAUGAGCCGAUGUCGGAUUAGCUAGUUGGCGGGGUAAAGGCCCACCAAGGCGACGAUCCGUAGCUGGUCUGAGAGGAUGAUCAGCCACACUGGAACUGAGACACGGUCCGGACUCCUACGGGAGGCAGCAGUGGGGAAUAUUGGACAAAGGGCGCAAGCCUGAUCCAGCCAUACCGCGUGGGUGAAGAAGGCCUUCGGUUUGUAAAGCCCUUUUGUUGGGAAAGAAAAGCAGCAGGUUAAUACCCCGCUGUUCUGACGGUACCCAAAGAAUAAGCACCGGCUAACUUCGUG
rnacentral:rRNA from 1 species